CGUUUUGGAAAUACCCUUCGUUUUUCGAUAAUCUAUUUUUAGCCAGUUUCUCAGAUACAACAAAGUGUCCAUUCACAAAGAGGAAGAGAUAUACAGGUUUGCAUAGUCAUUUUAAUCAAUAUUCAUUCCGUUCUUUGAUGAUGAAACAUUCGCCUACAGUGGAUGUGCAUACUGCAAAUUAGCUACGGAACCAUAGCUCUCACAUGUACAUGUAUACUUUUUGACAAUUUGCGCACAGGCACUUAAUUGUCUCAGAAUUUUUUUUUCCUAUAUACCUUUAUAUAUAUUAAGUAUACAAGUGCCUGUGAAUUUGCGGUAAAGAGGGAAAUUUCAUAUACACUUUUGAAAAGUUCUAUGAAAAUGUGCACUUACAACAUAAUUAAAAGAAUCAAAUAAGUACUGAUACACCAAUAUAGUUAACUAGAUUAUAGUUAUCUUGUUUAGUAUUUUCUCAACAAUUACUUGAGAAUUUUAAAUUUUAAACAUACAGGUUUAGAUUAAAUCUAAUUAUUAGUAAAAUUGAACUAAUAUUAAUGACUUUACAAAGUUUGGCCGAAAUGGCUGCAUGAUGGCCUAAACGACUGUGGCUUAAUAGGGCUAUGGCCGAUACACUAGUGUGGCAGAAACGUCCUGCAAAGGUCCUUAAUGUGAGCAUACUAAAUAACUAGUCCAAAUAAUCUUGAAAGGCUAUUAUAUUUUAUUUCUUCGACGAAGUAAGGCGUCAAAGAAAAAAAAUAUAAUAGCCGUCGAAGUAAGGCAUCAAAGAAAAAAAAUAUAAUAGCCUUUCAAGACGCAUUGUCAAGACGUCAUAAUUAUUUGGACCAACUAAAUAACCUAGGUUUUUAAAUAAGCUCGAUUGGGCUUUACAGAGUGGUAUAACAUUGGUAAAAGUAGAUAUAUGAAUGUUUUAAAGCCAUUUAUCAAAUCAGCCAAUACUGUUUUGUUUUGUCAAAGUACAUGUAUUAUUCUCUGGUAUGAAAAGGAUUUGAUAUUCAUUAAAUAAUUAUUUCAACUUAUACUGUAAGAAAUUUACAGCAAUCAGUCAUUUCUGAAUACAUUUGAUCAAUAAAACUGGGAUUAUGUGCUAAAAUAGCUAAUUUAAAUUAUAAAUAACAAAAAUGGACACAACAGAUAAUACCUGUUCCCUUAUUAAAACACAUUCAACUGCAAAUUGUGUUUUUUUUUUACAUGUUUAUAACAUGGGUAAAAUUUACUUUGAUUUUGAACUUUUGUGAUUUUCAUAAUUGAGCUUUUAAGAUACUGGUAGGAGUUACAAUCUAUUGGCACCAAUUUUGACAGAAUAAGUUUUUUCACUUAUUUUCUGGAUGAAAUAGUUUAAAGGAUUCCUGAAAAACAUUGUCCAAAAAAGAGUCGAGAGAUACAUAUUACCAAAGGGAUAUAAAAAAUCAUGUCCAAAACAAACUGACAAAGUCAUGACAAAAAAUGAAAAACAACGAAAAGACAAACGGUACACAAAACACAAAAAAGAAUACUAAAGACUGAAUCUUAUAUGAAGUUCAAUUUUUUUCAAACUGCUACAUUGACAAAAAAAAAUAAUUAAAACAACAAAAGGUGCAUUGUAUUUUGUCAUUUUUAACUGUCUUAUUUUUUUAAGACCUGUAAAAGAGCAAUGUCAUGAAUGUAGACGAUCAUACAUGUAGAAGAUCAUACAUGUAUGUCAAUAAUAAACCAAAUAUAUUUUGUACAUCUAACAUGCUUUUAAAAUAUAUACUUCUACAUAGCAUUUUCAAGUUCUAACUUCCAUAGUUUUUAAAGACUCAGAAAUAAUGAAUAAAGUUAAACUUUAGUUAGUAUGCAAAACAAAACUUUCUUUUUAAAGAAAAGUAGUAGCUUAUUUCGAUAAAUUUUAUGUUCUAAGGAUGUUUCAGUGUUUCCUAAUAUGUUCAAAAAAAUGUAUCAUAUACAUGAUAUAUAUCUAAUAUUUUGUGCAGCAGAAUAAGAUCUGACCAAUACAGAUACAAUAGAUCUUUUGUAAAUUAUAAGAUAAUAAAGUAGGUGUAUAUUGUUGUUGUUAUUGAAAGUUUGCAAUUUGAUAUAUAACAUUAGAAUUACACAUAACUUUCUUAAAAGAUGGGACACCAUUUUUUUUGGGAUACAUUGCUGUCAAGCAAUCUGUACGGACUUAUACGGUGGCUCAGAGCAAUUCUCCCUCACGUAAUCGUUUUAUUCUAAACAUUAACGGCAGUCUCACGAAUGUCUGUAUGAUUGUCUUGCUUUAAAAAGGUAAAAACAAAACAAAGGGAUUUGAACUUAAAUCAACUGUUCCUAUAAUGGUUCUUUGCAGUUAAUCUCAUGUUGAUAAUUUCCUUGACUUCGCAUGCGUGUUUUUAACAAACACGGAAAUCAGAAUUUAAGCAAGUACUAUUUAUAUUUAGUUGUAGUUAUAAAUUUAGAAACACGUCGAGGGAAUUCCCAGUUUGAUUAAAAUGCGAGAUUCUCUGAAUACGAUAAAUCUAUUAUCUGUUCAUAUAGGAAACUGAAGUGGAGUUUUCUUAUAUGUUACCGUUAUGAAACUGAUAUUGAGAUUGUAACUUCCAAUAAAGAAUUGGUGAGAACCUCUAGGUCGUUUAAUAAGCAUUAAUAUGAUCUUGCCCCAGGGUUGAUUUGGAAAUUAUGGCGCAUGCGUAUAGUUUCUUGCUUUAAGCGGGUUUUAGAUGAAUGGGUUGCUCUGGAUUCCCCACUCAAUUAAUUAAUUUAUAACUCAUGGAAUCUUCUUUCGUAUGUAUGUCUGCGUAUGAGGCUGUAAUUGUUGUUGCAUAAUUUUAAAUCAUUAUGGCAUCAUUUAGAUUAAAUAAAUAUGAUUCCACAUCGUAGAACCCCCUUUCAGGCGAAAUGGAAGUCCUUCCAUAUUAUCGGUUUCGAGUUGUUACUCCCUUCCGGCAGUAUAACUUUCCGUGAAUUCUGAACAUAAACAAGAUGUCGAGUAAGCUCAUUCAUUGGUCAAAUAAACGGCGUAAUUUUAUAUGAAAAAACGAAAUGCAAUUUAAAACCGAUAAAUGCUGUACGGAAAGGAGCCUGAUGACUGAUCCAUAAGGAAAUUAAAUAUUUAAGAGUUAGGAAUGCGGGUUCCUCCUAGAACAUUAACGUAGGGAAAAGGUGAUAAGAACGAAAUUGAAAUCACCAUCUACACUUCAUACGACGAUCCAAUUCAGCACAUUGUGGACGUAUACGUCGGCGGCUCGCUUAACAGACACUAAUAACAAUUAAAACCGAAUGAGUGAAAUAAAAUACCUUUCUGCUGACAUCUCUCCACUCUGAGUCGGUCAGUGACUGCUGUGGAAAGUAAACUUAAUUUGGUAUUGAUAGUACAAAAAAAAACACAAGACCUAAUUUACAUACACCUUAUCGCUAAUCACCGGCUGACCCGGCCGCUUGAACUUUUGACGCAUACAAACAAUCACUUUUCCAUGUGUGGCGUUCAGAUUUUUGUUUUAUGACGUCAAAAUUUUACGGGAACCUGUGCGAUAUCCAGUUAAGUCGACAAAUACGCGAUAAGGUCGUAUUGUUCAUACACUUUUAUCAGGGUUUGGUAUUUUGUAACUAUUUUACAUGUCUGUUUGUCAUUUGAUUGUAUUGAAAAUAUAUUAUCAGCUACAUGCAUACAUGCCUGGCAAUGAAACAAUGGCAAUCGUAUCCCCUCAGAGCAAUCUGCUCUUUGAUUAAUCUAUUUUGUUUAGUAAAAAUUCCUGUGAGAGGGCUCAGAGGGGCAUUUACCAAAAUAACAAUCUCAUUUUCACCUUUUAGCAUGCAUGUCAUAUUAAAGAUGUUAAAUAAAACAAGUUGAAGAGUGAAAAUUUCAUUAGUAUAUAAUCAUGAUAAUAUAUGCAUGUUACAUGGAUGUGAUGAAAUUUGAACCAUAUAUACAUUGUAGGUGUAAUUAAGGUCUCAAACAGCAAUAGUGUUGCCAAAGUGAUAAUAUAGUAUACAGUUAUUAAAGAAGAUAUGUCUAAGUCUGAUCAGAGAGAUUCUGUACCUGUUACUCCAGAGGAACAAACAUCCUUAAAACAAGGACUUAUGACUAAUGGUAUUAAACAACCAGAAAG
rnacentral:lncRNA from 1 species